GGGGUUGUAGCUCAUUGGGAGAGCAUCUGUCUAAUGUGCAGGAGGCCUUGGGUUUAAUUCCCAGCAACACAU
rnacentral:tRNA from 1 species